GAUGAACGCUGGCGGCGUGCCUAAUACAUGCAAGUCGAGCGAACAGACGAGGAGCUUGCUCCUCUGACGUUAGCGGCGGACGGGUGAGUAACACGUGGAUAACCUACCUAUAAGACUGGGAAAACUUCGGGAAACCGGAGCUAAUCCCGUAUAAUAUCUUGAACCGCAUGGUUCAUUAGUGAAAGACGGUUUUGCUGUCACUAAUAGCGGGUUCCGCGCCGCAUUGGCUGGUUGGUAAGGUAACGGCUUACCAAGGCAACGAUGCGUAGCCGACCUGAGAGGGUGAUCGGCCACACUGGAACUGAGACACGGUCCAGACUCCUACGGGAGGCAGCAGUAGGGAAUCUUCCGCAAUGGGCGAAAGCCUGACGGAGCAACGCCGCGUGAGUGAUGAAGGUCUUCGGAUCGUAAAACUCUGUUAUUAGGGAAGAACAAAUGUGUAAGUAACUAUGCACGUCUUGACGGUACCUAAUCAGAAAGCCACGGCUAACUACGUG
rnacentral:rRNA from 1 species